UACGUAGGUGGCAAGCGUUGUCCGGAAUUACUGGGCGUAAAGCGUGCGCAGGCGGUUCGUUGUGUCGGCGGUGAAAGCCCCGGGCUCAACCUGGGAAUGGCCGUUGAAACUGGCGAACUGGAGUGUGGCAGAGGGGGGUGGAAUUCCGCGUGUAGCAGUGAAAUGCGUAGAGAUGCGGAGGAACACCGAUGGCGAAGGCAGCCCCCUGGGCUGACACUGACGCUCAGGCACGAAAGCGUGGGGAGCAAACAGG
rnacentral:rRNA from 1 species